GCAGUCGUGGCCGAGUGGUUAAGGUGAUGGACUAGAAAUCCAUUGGGGUCUCAGGUUCGAAUCCUGUCGACUGCG
rfam:Ixodes scapularis strain Wikel colony gcontig_1108378754492, whole genome shotgun sequence.